CCAAUAGCGUAUAUUAAAGUUGUUGCAGUUAAAAAGCUCGUAGUUGAACUUCGGGGUCUACCCAUUGGUCAGGCUUAAUUGUCUGCACUGGUGAGAUGGAUCUCUACCUUCUGAGGGACUUUCAUGCCAUUUAUUUGGUGUGGUUGGAAAUCAGGACUGUUACUUUGAAAAAAUUAGAGUGUUUAAAGCAGACUAUCGUCUGAAUACAUUAGCAUGGAAUAAUGAAAUAGGACGGACUGAUUCUAUUUCGUUGGUUUCUAGGAUCACCGUAAUGAUUAAUAGGGAUAGUUGGGGGCAUUAGUAUUCAAUUGUCAGAGGUGAAAUUCUUGGAUUUAUUGAAGACUAACUACUGCGAAAGCAUUUGCCAAGGAUGUUUUCAUUAAUCAAGAACGAAAGUUAGGGGAUCGAAGACGAUCAGAUACCGUCGUAGUCUUAACCAUAAACUAUGCCGACUAGGGAUCGGACGAAGUUAAUUUUAUAAUGACGCGUUCGGCACCUUACG
rnacentral:rRNA from 1 species